rnacentral:rRNA from 1 species
UACGGAGGAUCCAAGCGUUAUCCGGAUUCAUUGGGUUUAAAGGGUGCGUAGGCGGGUUUGUCAGUCAGUGGUGAAAGCCAACAGCUUAACUGUUGAAUUGCCAUUGAUACUGCAAGUCUUGAGUACAUUUGAUGUGGGCGGAAUGUGUCAUGUAGCGGUGAAAUGCUUAGAUAUGACACAGAACACCGAUUGCGAAGGCAGCUCACAAAACUGUAACUGACGCUGAGGCACGACAGCGUGGGGAUCAAACAGG